AGCCUCAGAAUGCCUCAGACAGGUGAGGUAAGGCCACACGGGAAGCCCAUUUAAACCAGUGGCUUUCUAAUCACUACAUACACAGAAUAUUUAAGGAACUGGAGGAGCAGCUGAGACAGCUCAGGGCUCCGAUUUUCCUCCUUUCAGCAGAUUAAAAAAGCCUCACUAUCCUGGGAAGAAGGGAGAAGCUGAUUUUUGCAUCUCCAGUAGAAGGAAUGAGAUAGGAAAAUUGGAUCCUUAAGAGGAAGAGAUGCUUGCCAAUGAAGAAACACUAUCUGCUUAGCAAAUUUUUCCUUCUGUUGGAAUGAAAAUUAAACAACAGCAACAACCCAAGCCCAAAAAGUGCCUGAGAUAUUCCACAGCAGCCUGGCUGCAGCAGUUACCUGGGGGGACCCAGCAUGUAUGCUGGAGGGAAGCAGGAAAAAAUAUUGGGCUGGGACUUGUCCACUUUGCUUGCAUGCCAAAUGGCUCAAACACUUGACUAUGAGAUCUCAGCUGGAAAUUGCAACUUGCAGCAUGGAGAAGGAGUAGACAUCAUAAAUUACACCUUUAAGUCUUGGUCUUUUAUGAUCUGGUGCUAAGACAGCUGAGGCCACAAAUGGCUCUUGGGUGACUGAAGGCCUCACAGAGAAAAAGAACUGUACUAUGCAUUGACUCGAAGGGAUAAAUGAGAAGAGGUGGAUGUUCUGGAGCACGUAUGAUAUGUCCUGUCUUAAUCAGGAGGGUGGAACUAGAUAAUCUCUAGAGGACCCCAUCAGCUUCAACUCCAGCUACUUUGGAAUUCUGAACUAGGAAAAAUGUUUUUUUAAGAGCAUUACCUACCUCUGUUGAUGCCUGGAUACUCAGAUCACAUGAAAAGCCAAAUAAAGACCCUGUGAAUUCACACUGUUUUGAAUAGAGGGCACACUGUGGACUUUGGCUCACUUUAUAAAAACUGUGUGAGGUACAAAGUUACUACACAGCAAAAAUGUUUAUGGCAUUGAUUCUAGCUUGUGUGUACCUUGUAAGGUCUGAGGUGUCUGCAUUUUUUGUUUCAGAAAAUCUGACUGGUAAAGCUUGAAGAUACCCAUAUUAAAAUUUGAUUGUUACCACCUUGCACACUGUGCUUUUUCCCUAAUGAGAUAUAAAGACACUGUACAUGGGGGGUUGGGGGAGUACCAGCUUUACAGAUUUUUGCUUGAUGCAGCUUUAAAGAUAAAUGUCUCAUGGAGAUCUGUAUAGGGAUCAGGCCUAAAUUAAGACAGUGCAGAGAGACAGAAAUUCUGGC